AUCGCUUCUCAGCCUAACGGCUAAGAUCAUGUGUAGUAUCUGUUCUUAUCAGUUUAAUAUCUGAUAAGCUCUCUAAUUGAGAGCUAAGUAUAUUAGUUUGAUUUUUGGAACAGGGUGUUGGUUUGAGAGCUUGCUCCAACCACACCAAGCAUCAUUCUGGUAUUGCAGUGCUUCCAGAAAUGGUGUGCCUUUA